rnacentral:misc_RNA from 1 species
GUAACUAUUAAGUUUAUUCAGACGCUGAUUGCAGCUACAAAGGGUUUGAAUGUUGUCCAGCCGGUGGGCGAACCCACCGAGGAAACGAAGGUACUCAAAAGACAUGGGUAAGAGAUGGCAGGCAAAGCCCGCAACUCUAGGUAAUGAUCCUUCCGCAGGUUCACCUACGGAAA